rnacentral:rRNA from 1 species
GUGAGGAAUUUUGCGCAAUGGGGGCAACCCUGACGCAGCGACGCCGCGUGGAGGACGAAGUCUUUCGGGAUGUAAACUCCUGUCAGUGGGGACGAUAAUGACGGUACCCACAGAGGAAGCACCGGCUAACUCCGUGCCAGCAGCCGCGGUAAGACGGAGGGUGCAAGCGUUGUUCGGAAUUACUGGGCGUAAAGCGUACGUAGGCGGCAAGUUAAGUUCAAUGUUAAAGCCCACGGCUCAACCGAGGAGAUGCAUUGAAUACUGGCUAGCUAGAGGGUGUUAGAGGAAGACGGAAUUCCCAGUGUAGCGGUGAAAUGCGUAGAUAUUGGGAGGAACAUCGGUAGCGAAAGCGGUCUUCUGGGACACACCUGACGCUGAGGUACGAAAGCGUGGGGAGCAAACGGGAUUAGAUACCUGAGUAGUCC